GUUUGAUCCUGGCUCAGAACGAACGCUGGCGGCAUGCCUAACACAUGCAAGUCGAACGAAGGCUUCGGCCUUAGUGGCGCACGGGUGCGUAACGCGUGGGAACCUGCCCCUCGGUUCGGAAUAACAGUUAGAAAUGACUGCUAAUACCGGAUGAUGACUUCGGUCCAAAGAUUUAUCACCGAGGGAUGGGCCCGCGUAGGAUUAGCUAGUUGGUGGGGUAAAGGCCUACCAAGGCGACGAUCCUUAGCUGGUCUGAGAGGAUGAUCAGCCACACUGGGACUGAGACACGGCCCAGACUCCUACGGGAGGCAGCAGUGGGGAAUAUUGGACAAUGGGCGAAAGCCUGAUCCAGCAAUGCCGCGUGAGUGAUGAAGGCCUUAGGGUUGUAAAGCUCUUUUACCAGGGAUGAUAAUGACAGUACCUGGAGAAUAAGCUCCGGCUAACUCCGUG
rnacentral:rRNA from 1 species